GAGGCCUUACAGAAAAAGCCACCACCACGAUUUCUCUCCGAGCCAACCAUGUGCCUCAGACUUCUCUACUGUGUAGCCCUUUCUUUCUUGGGAGCAGGCUCCUUGGACACCAAGGUCACCCAGAGACCUAGACAUGUGGUCACAGUGAAGGAACAGAAAGCAAAGAUGGAUUGUGUUCCUAUGAAAGGACAUAGUUAUGUUUACUGGUAUCGUAAGAAGCUGGAAGAAGAGCUCAAGUUUUUGGUUUACCUGCAGAAUGGAGAAAUCAUUCAGAAAGCAGAAGUGAUCAAUGAGCGAUUUUCAGCCCAAUGCCCCGAAAACUCACCCUGUGCCUUGGAGAUCCAGUCUACUGAGUCAGGGGAUGCAGGACUGUAUUUCUGUGCCAGCAGCAAAGCCACAGUGUCAAAUGUUAGCCUUUCUUAGAACACAAACUCAUCACGGACCCAGCUCAGGAAAUAAGUGGUAUAUCAGGUUGGUAGGAACUGCAAUAUCAGAAACCAAGCUUGAAAGACAAUAAAUCAGAAGGAAAAACUUGUAAAUAACAGCUCUAAGGGAGGCAAAAAACAAAGGGGGGUGUUAUUUAAAACAGCUGAUGGAGGCAAAACCCUAGGGAAGGACCCAGAAGGCAUAAAAAGUUCAGAUUCCUCAGUGUUUGGGAUAUUAGGUAAGAUAUACUAGGUAACCUUCUCUCUCUUUUUAUAUGAGCUUUAUGGAUUUCUGACAAUCUCUACUUAAAGAAUGUGAUUCUGUGCUUUUCACUUGGUAAAGCUGUGAGUUCAGAAAUAAGAAUGACAAGCAGGUCAACUGUAUCUUUCAGGUGUAGACUCUGAUCAUCUGACCCAGCACAUUUCCUUGAACUAGAGACAGAGAGUCUAAGGGAUUUAUGAGGGCUUCUCACAACUCUCCCUGCUAUGGAAGCUUAGUGGGAACCACUAGCAACCCUGCCUCCAGGAUAGUACAAUCAGAAAAUUGUUUUUUGUUGUUCCCAAAAAUUUAUAUAUAUACACAAUUGUACUUUAGG